AUGGCUGGAAACAAUCCAACAGCAUUUCACUAUAUCAAUUCAAGUUCAGUUUACAAAUGAUGAAGCUCUCUUUUUAUAGGCAAAGAUGAGCUUGGAAAUGUACAAUGAAAGCUACAUCAGCUACAUUUGAAACGUGCAGAAUCCAAACGUGCAGGAGCUCCUUCCAGGCCAUGUGUUUCAUUUGCACUUUAUUGAAAAUGUGCUGAAUUAGGGAAGCCACAUGGUUGGCUUGUGUUCCACGUGAUGCACAUGUAAAAUGUACUUCCAACUUGGCUAUUUGGUGACUAACAGCAGCAAGGCUUCUCGGCUGUUUGCUAUAGGUUCCAAGUCUUCCUUAGGAUGUGUACACAUGGUUUCCCCACCUUUAUUGGUGACCUAUAAAACAAA
rnacentral:sRNA from 1 species